GUCGGCGUGGUGUAAUGGCAGCAUUUUGACUCUUACCAAGUUAAUGGUGCGGGUUCAAUUCCCGUCACCGACUCCG
rnacentral:tRNA from 1 species